UUUUUCUGCCACCAAUUUUCAGUUAGAAACAUUAACAUUUUUCAGUGUUAAUGAUGCCAAAAAAUUACUGGCCAGCAGUAAAGCGUGUGGAUAGAUCUAUGUAUACAUGCACCUACUUGGAAGUAAUGGUGUUGGGGAAUAAUGAGGGGUAUAUUUUGUAGGCCAUCAUGGAUUUAGCAUCACUCCAGCUCUAUUGUAAUAUAUGUUCAGUGCUACUUAAUCUUGUUUUGCAAGUGAUUGCUAAUGAUUAUUUUUAUGAUUUUUUUUUUACUCUAGAAACCACUGGACCCAGCCCACACCAAGGUCAUGACCAAUUAUUGAGCCCUCUUACCUGAACUGUCCCAUUGACUUCAAUCCCACUGACUGAUGCAGGUGAUAACCAGUAUGAAUUAUAGUUGCAGUCAACACAGUUCUCAUUAGCUGCCUUCAGGGCCAGAUUUUUAAAAUAUCUGUGUGUGUAGUAGCUCCCAUUUAAGUACUUGAUGACACUCCUUCGCUCAAAGCAGUUCUCACUUAGCACUGUUAGAGCUACUAGGAACAAAACACUUGGAAGUUUUGGUCAGUUCAUUCCCAUUUAGGUGUCUGUAUAAAGCACUCUUGAAUAUCUGAUGCUUAAUGUUGACACAUUUAUCUUUUCAAACAGAUGGUACUUGCCAGAUUCCACACACAUGAGUGACGUUGCAAAGUGCAAGGUCAGCAGUAACACAAAUAUUACACUUACCUUUCACUGGAAGCUUGAAAAUAGAAAAUGCAGUUUUAUAUUUAAUAGAAUAUAUUAAGUGUUACAGGUGUGAUGCCACAGAAAUGGAAAAAUACCAACCAUGCUUCUAUCACUUAUUGAAACCAGAAUGAGGGGUAACGUUACAAGCUUAAUCCCUUAGGCCAAAUUCUGCUUGGACCUGUACUGUUGGCCAUAUUGUCUAUCCUGGAUAUUCAGAGAAGAGGAUAUAGCUAUAUUAAAAGUUUGGGGAUAAAAUAAGGUGAUGAUAACAGGAUAAUGAGGAUUUUUUUUCUUUCCCGUGUGUGUGUGUGUGUGUGUGUUGGGGGUAAACACUGGGGAUGAUGAUUCUGAUCAGAAGUAUUAAUUAUGUCAAGGGAUCUUAUCCCUUUAAACUGUAACUGCAUUUUAUUUUGUCACUGUAGGGUGUCUACUGGAUACAAUACUUACUAAUGGCUUCUUUUAUAACAAUACCAUUGGUAACAAUUUCCUAUAUUUAUAGGAAAUUAAUUUAGUGGGCCAAAUUCUAAUUUCACGUUUGCUGGUGUAAAUCUGGACUAAUGAACUGUGUGUUGCUCAUCCUUUGAGAUCAAUGGGAGUAGGCUCACAGCUUUUACAUCCCACCAAGGGUGGCUUUAGAUCAUCCAGCUCACUCAUUAGCCAGGCAAAACUCCCAGGGAGAAUUCAGCUCGACUAGCAGGGGAAAGGACCUUCCCUGGUCUGAAAAGCUCAGUGUGCCAAUGAAUGUGUGAGAGAGAACUUCUGAAUUAGAUGAGACAUUCAUAAGAAGAAACUUUUCCCACCAUCCCAGAUCUAUUCUGACCUUAUUGUGGGAGGAGGGGGACAGCAAUAGGUAGAACGCAAUUCAUGUCAACUUCAGUUCUCAGCUGCAAACCAUUGACUUACAGGUGGUAACUGACAACCCAAUUGGUCCGCUCAUUUUUUCUGAUUCAGGAUUGGUUCCUGCAUUUUAUGUACCCUAAACUCCCACUAAAAUCAGCUGGCUCUCUGUACUAUCUAGCAAUUCCCACACAGAAGAAGAGACAUCAUUGCCUAUUUAAACCAAUUUGCUGCUCGCUGUACAAAUCACAGAAACCAUAGAAAAAAUAUGGUUGGAAGGGACCUCAGGUCAUCUAGACCAACCCCUGCUCAAAGCAGGACCUGCCCCAACUAGAUCAUCCCAGCCAAGGCUUUGUCUAGCUAGGUCAUAAAAACCUUCAGAAUGGAGAGUCCACAACCUCUCUGGAUAGCCUGUUCCAGUGUUUUACUACCCUCUUACUGAGAACAUUUUUCCUAAUAUCUAACUUAAACUUCCCUUGCUGCAACUUGAGAUCGAUGCUUCUUGUUCUGUCAUCUGUCACCACUGAGAACAGUUUAGCUCCAUCCUCUUUCAAACCCGACUUCAGGUAGUUGAAGGCUACUAUUAAAUACCCUCUUAGUCUCCUCUUCUCUAGACUAAAUAAGCCCAGUUCCCUCCCACUCCCCUGGACUCUCUCCAACUUGGGCACAUUCUUUCUGUAGUGGGGGGCCCAAAAUUGAACACAUUUCUCCAGAUGUGGCCUUACCAGUGCUGAAUAGAAGGGAACAAUCACUUCCCUUUACCUGCUGGCAACACUCCUAUCAAUGCAGCCCAGUAUGCUGUUAGCCUUCUUGGAAACAAGGGCACACUGUUAGCUCAUAUUCAGCUUAUUUUCCACCGUAACCCUCAGGUCUUUUUCUGCGGAGUUGCUGCCCAGCCAGUCAGCCUCCAGCCUGAACCAGUGCAUGGGGUUAUUCUGUCCUAAGUGCAGGACUUGUCAUUGUUGAACCUCAUGAGAUUUCUUUUGGCCAAAUCAAUUUGUCUAGGUCACUCUGAACCUAACCCUACUGUUCAGUAUAUCUACUACUCCUCCCAGCUUGGUGUCAUCUGCAGACUUGCUGAGGGUGCCCUCUAUGCUAUCUUCCAAGUCAUUAAUGGGGGGAUUGAACAAAACCGGCCCCAGGACCGACCCCUGGGGGGACUCCACUGGAUACUGGCUGCCAACUAGAUAUUGAACCAUUAAUUACUGCCCUCUGACCCUGAUGAUCCAGCCAGUUUUCUAUUCACCUAACAGUUCAUUCAUCCAGCCCGUGCUUUCUUAGGUUGCCUGGGAGAAUGUUAUGGGAGACUGUAUCAAAAGCCUUUCUAAAAUCAAGGUAUACCACAUCCAUUGGUCUCCCCAUAUCCACACUGCCAGUUGUCUCAUCAUAGAAAGGAAUCAAGUUGGUCAGGCAUGACUUGCCUUUGGUGAACCCAUCAUGACUGCUCCUAAUCACCUUCUUCUCUUCCAAGUGUUUAGAAAUAGAUUCCUUGAGGAUCUGCUCCUUUAUUUCUUCCAGGGACUAAGGUGAAGGUGACCGGUCUGUAGUUCCCUGAAUGCUCCUUUUUCCCUUUCUAAAAUAUGGGCACUAAGUUUGCCAUUUUCCAAUCACUGGGACCUCUCCUGAUUGCCAUGAGUUUUCAAAGAUGAUGGCCAGCAGUUCUGCAAUCACAUUAGCCAACUACCUCAGCACCCUUGUGUGCAUCCCAUCUGGCCUUGUACAUGUCCUUCUUUUCUAAACAGUCCCUAAUGUGUUCUUUUGCCACUAUUGGCUACUCACUUCCUCCAAAAUUGUGCUGUCAGGUGCAGUAAUCUGGGAGCUGAACUUGCCUGUGAAGGCUGAGAUGAAAAGGCAUUGAGCACUUCAGCCUUUUCCACAUCAUCUGUCUUUAGGUUGCCUCCCCCAUUCAUUAAGGGACCCACACUUUCCCUGACCUUCCUCUUGUUACUGGCAUACUUACAGAAACCCUUCUUGUUACCUUUCAUAUCUCUUGCUAGCUAAAAGUCCAACUGUGCUUUGGCCUUCCUGACUUCAUCCCUGCAUGCCCGACUAGUACUCUAAUAUUCCUCCCUAGUUGUUUGUCCAAGUUUCCAUUUCUUGUGAGCUUCAAAUUCAACUUUGUGUAUAUGUUUGGGGUAGAAAGCUCAACACAUAGGGAGAAGGAAAAGUUCUCCUUAGUAGACUUGGAAAUACAGACUAUGGAAUGCAUGGCAUAGUUUCUUGGAAGCCAUUGUAAAAGGCCCAAAGAGGUGAAACUGAAAAUGGUUUCAAUAUAGCUGACAAACCAGUCAUCAUAAACUCACAUACUGGGGCAAAGUUUAUGCUUUGUUUAUAUUUAAUUAAUAAUAUGUUAUAUAUUUUGAAGCUCAAUGUUAAGACAACUGACUAAUACUUUUAAGUUCCUCAAUGUUAUAAGGACAUUCUAAGAUGGUGAGAAACAGAAGAGAGAACUCUAUGCCAUUAGCUGUAAAAUCACUACCAAAGAUGAAGGCUUCAAAACUGCACUGUGGUACUCAAACUUUUUAUAGUCAAACAGCUACAAGGUAUUUUUAAUGGGGUAUCAAAGACCAACACAUGAAUAUAUACACCAUUAUACAUAUGGGAUUAUAACAUUGUGCCUGCCUGGCCUCGAACAUUCGGUUACGUGCGGCCUUGGUCCGGACGGCUGGUAGCGGACAUCCUACAGUCUUCUGUAGGCUGGUGGGUAGGUGUUUAUCACCUGGGGGUGGUCUCCCCCGGUCUCUCCUGCCAUGACUUUGAAUGUUAUACCAGUGGGGGGGAUGACCGCCCAGGGCUCCUCUGUGGCAGGGAGUCCACCCGGCAGUCGUCCAUGGGGUUCCAACUCCCCUACGCCCCAACCUCACGCCAACCUUCGGCAGGUCACCUGAUCUUCUCGGCCAUACUUCCGAUGAUGUUGUACUUCUUGGCGUGGUGGUCUUCAUAGCCCUCUCCCACCCUAGGUCCUGCUUCCCGGGAUAACUCACUCAGUUGGCUGUAGGGCUACAGGAAUCACUUCCUCCUGUCCCAAGGCAGUCUCCGCCCAAGUCCCUAAAUCUAACCUGUGCUCAAAAUAAAAGAUGGAGGACAACAGAAGAUAUGAUAUAGCUAUCCUGCCUGCACCACCAUGCCCUACUUCUCAACUGCUCCAAAAGGGGGAAACAAAAAAACCCAACACAAACUAAGUUGGGAAGGGCCUGCCAGGCUCUUUCCCCUGCCCUUCUGCUGGAGUAACAGAGCAAUCCGUGCUCCCUAUGAUCCCACUGGGGUUUGGCCCAUUGUAGGGCCAGGGUAGACCAUUGCCCUUUGCCCUGGGUUGUUUCUCCCCUCACUCCGCCAAGUGUGGUAUGUGGCGCUGCUCCCCUUUUCUGCUGCUGGGGACUUCCAGUGCCCUGCGGCACCUCCUCAAGAGUCUGGCCACUUCUUAUAUUAUGAGCUGGCACCCAGCCUCUUGUUGUCCUGCUCCGCAGCUCCUCUUGCCGCUCCCUUCUGUUACGUCCCAGAGGGAGAGUCUCCUCUGCCUCCCACAUUCCCCCGAUGCUCCCACCUUUGUUGGUGUAGAGAGCCUCUUCUGGCUCCUCAGCCUCCUCACCACGCUGUUCUCCACUGGUGCAGAGAGCCCCUGCUGGCUUUCUCCCUGGGAGUAUCCCAAAUGGCGUCCAGUAUCGGAGUCUUCCCCAACUCUGCUCCCCUCCAUCUGCCAUCCUCCCCAGUGGUCCGCCUUAUCCCCGAUGGCCGGUGAUGGCUGAUGACGUCACCGGCUGGCUUCAGCCGGAUGAAGGCAUGACUUACAACCCACGCGGCUUUCCUUUCUCACUCUGGCUGCACUGCGGGUCAUGUUGCUGGACAUCAUGUGACCCAGAGGAAGGCUAAAUGAAUGGUUGUGGAGAGACAAAUACUGCUCAAUAAAUGGGAGAAGAAUGAGAGACUGCAACAAAUCCCAGUACAUCUAAUCAAAGCAAAGAGAGAGAUGUCUGGAGAUAGCCUGACAAUCCCCUUCUUCUCCCUGAAAAUAUUCCCUUGCUUUGGGACCCUUUGAGAUUUUUCCAUUAUGACAACUCUACAAACAAAUCUACUUGCUACUUUCAGACCACGCUGUUCCUUACAACAGUCCAGAAUACCAGGUGCCCAGGAAGAUAAGGAGGCAGGGCUGCAAACAGCAGCUCAUUCAGAUUCUUGAGGUGGAAAGAAGGAACCAGUGGUUGCUGUGUCCAUUUGCUGCUCCUGGAGAUGGUGAGGAAGUUGAAGGAAGGCUCCCAGACCUGAACUAUACCCCUGAAAAUCAUUCUCCUUUCACAAGAACAGCAUGUAUUGAUCUGCAGUAUAAAGGUAUCACGGAUCUCAUGGAAAGAACAGCUAUUAAUCCUUUGUGCAUAGAUUGUAUUCUACCUGUACAUAAACAUUAACAGAGAUACCAACAGGAUGAUUGAUUUCCAAGGAAUGGGGAAUGAGCAACCAAAGCAAUGUUUAUCUUACACAUCUGUAGCCCUGUGCUUCAUGGCAAGAGGUUGUAAGGAGUCCUAGGAGUUGAGAUUAUGGAAGUGAAAGUAUAAAUUAUUUGCAGACACAGAGCAUAUAUCCACAUAUGCUGUACGGGGAGACAAAGGUGGAAUGCAUGCCACUGAAACAGACGACCUGGUGAUAUCUUCUUGGCUGCAGAAGAUGCUGGUUCAGCAAGGUUUUAAGCAACUACAUAACCUUAAGCAGAUGAGUAAUCCCAUUGCUUGCCUGGAUCAUGCCUUAAGGAAUUGGAGAGCACGCCAGUUAUUUCUGUGUCAUGAAGAUCUAGAAAUUUUAGGAAAUGGAAGUCAGAUAAAAAGGGAGACCAAGAAAAUGAGCUGCCAUGUGGCACAUUUGUCACAAAUCAAGUAGUCCAAGCAACAGAGAACAGCGAGACUGUUCCAUGUACAGAUGGGGACCAGAGAGACAGAAAGGCUGUCACUUGCUCACCAUCAUCAUCAUCACCUAAGAAUCUUUUUGUGUCAUGACCAGGAACUAAACUCUUCCAGGCUGGAUUGGUGUAUAAUGUUCUGAGUAAGCUGACUUGAAGAAGACCUGGCUUUCCCUUUACUGAGCAGUUAUUAUCUUAAGGUGUAUAUUAUACCUGGAUUCCCCAGCUUUCACUGGAUUCCAGUUGCUACAGACACAGCUGUGUUGGUUGUGACCUAGGUUGAAUAAAGCUGUCUGAAAAAUUGGGAAAAAAUGAACACUUCUUCAAAUGUUCUCUCUUUUGGGGUUUUCCUUUUGAAAUUUAAUAACUAUUGAUCAGCUCUGCAGUUGGACACUGGAAGGAGGGCAAGAGGGGAAAAGUAACCAAACAGCAUUUGACAUUUUUGUUUUUUAUAGGUUUUUACCGCAGUACAUUUUUUUGGUUGUCAUUUAGUUAUAUAUAUAUUUAAGCAGGUGACUAUUAAAUAUAUAUAACAUAGGCCAGAUUUUUUUAUAUAUAUGGAUAACGCAGGCCAACUUUUUCUCCUGUGGCCAACCAUCAAAACUCUAAAAGAGUGGAGAUGUGUGAAUUAUAAUUCAUGACUCAGAGUGCCAGCUGUAGCGCUGACAAUGGUCAGAGCACCUGAAAGACUUUUCUAAAUGAUCUCACUUUUAUUCCUUAUUAGGCCCUUUCUUCCACCAUACUCCUGCCAAUGUCAUGGAGGAGAAACUGUGGGUGCAGGAAGUGGUUGGGGUAGCUUUACUCCACUGGAGGGUGCUCUCCAUUAAUGAAAUUGCCUACUGGCCAUUUUCAGCUUGCAGCAUGGAGGCUAGAUUACAUCUGGAAACCAGGUCCUCCAGCUGUAUGUGAUACUACAAUAGGAGGGACAAGUUGAAGUGUAGAGGGGAUGGCAGCAGGGUAGGGAGGUAACUUUAGAACUAAUAUUGCCUCAUGGAGAGUGAGUGAGCAUUGGAUUAUGCCAUGUGUGUGCGCAUGCGCUAAAUAUUUAUAUUUCGAACAAUACAUGUAUUUGGCAUAAUCCAAUUUAAGAACCCUCAAAGCAUGCUAAUAGUAUUUACCACUUUUUUCUGAGGGAAUAUUUUCCUACUUUUUUCUGAGGGAGUAGGAUGAGUAGCGUGCAGGUAAGGGGAUGGAUGCAAAAAGAGUUGCCCUCUCAGUGGGAUCAGAUUUAGGCCAUUUUUUCAUUAGAGAGUGAAGCCCAGCAGCUCCCAUUAAACAACAGAAGGUGAUGGGUGCUCAUCCUUUUUUGAAAAUCUAGCCUCAUUUGUGGAUACCAAACGCUUGGGAGAAUCAUGGGACUAAAUAUAUUUAUACUAUUGUUGCACUGAUUAAAAUGAUAUGCCCAACCACUAGUGACACCAAAGAUAUGGAUAGAUACAAACUAGACCAAUGUACUUUCCUAAUAAUUCUUUAAAACCCUUGUAUAAGUGUAGAUACUUCCUUCUUUCUUUGGGUUCAGUACAGAACAGUUCCAACAAGUUUGUAUUUGGUUUGGGUUUGUUCUGUUGGAGGGGGGAAAGCUCGAGUUAUCUUGCAAGGGGCCAGAUAGUUCUUGUGUCUUUGUGUCUCUGGGAGUCCAUUUGUUCUGUAAAAUAAGCUUACUGUAAAAUAAAUUAAUAUAAACAUCA